rnacentral:rRNA from 1 species
CUUUCAGCAAUGGAUCUCUUGGCUCUCGCAUCGAUGAAGAACGCAGCGAAUCGCGAUAAGUAAUGUGAAUUGCAGAUUUCCAGUGAAUCAUCGAAUCUUUGAACGCACUUUGCGCUCCUUGGUACUCUGAGGAGCAUGCCUGUUUGAGUGUCAUUUUAU